UACGGGGGGUGCGAGCGUUGUCCGGAAUCACUGGGCGUAAAGGGCGCGUAGGUGGCCUGAUAAGGGUGUGGUGAAAGUCCGGGGCUUAACCCCGGAUCUGCCGUGCCGACUGUUAGGCUAGAGUGCUGUAGGGGCAGGCGGAAUUCCGGGUGUAGCGGUGGAAUGCGUAGAGAUCCGGAGGAAGACCGGUGGCGAAGGCGGCCUGCUGGGCAGAUACUGACACUGAGGCGCGACAGCGUGGGGAGCAAAC
rnacentral:rRNA from 1 species